rnacentral:lncRNA from 1 species
ACUCUUUCAGCCUAUAAGGCCUCCUACACAAUGCUGAUCCUUGGGCCAGCAGCAUGGCUGUCACCUAGGGAGUUAGAAAUGCAGAUUCCUGGUCCGAAUUUGACUGAAUCCAAAAGAUUCAAAAGCUGUUGAAAUCUUGCUACCCAGGGCCUGGCGAGUCCUUAGAAGGGUUUAGCAGAUCUACACCACGACGUCCACACUUCUCCAGCGACAACUCAAAAUUCACAGCAUUUUCUCAAAGGAACCUGUUCACCUAGAAUUUAAGAGUCAUGGGUACCAAACGGAGGACAGAGAAGGAGGAGCAUCUUGCAAUUUGCACAUCACAUGAAUCCGCAUCUCCAUCUAUCUAUCUCUCUGGAAUCGUCAUAAGGGAAAAACAAAGAGACUUGUCAGACCAACUACAGCUUGGUCUGUGCUAUAGUUUGUGGCUCAGAGCUCAUCUUUUCUUAAUCCUCUUCAACUUUAUGUGAACUUUGAACCCUGUAGGACGCUGCUUGGUAUAUCUAGGAAAUAUAGCUAUUCAAGUUACAAUUU